ACCUGGCGGCCGCUUACAAUGCAAGUCCAACGGAGAAUUUUUGGUUUACUGAGAAUUCUUAGUGGCGGACGGGUGAGUAACACGUGAGCAACCUACCUUGUAGAGAGGGAUAGCUACUGGAAACGGAUGGUAAUACCUCAUAACAUAGCUAAAAGGCAUCUUUUGGCUAUCAAAGAUUUAUCACUAUGAGAUGGGCUCGCGUCUGAUUAGAUAGUUGGUGAGGUAACGGCUCACCAAGUCGACGAUCAGUAGCCGGACUGAGAGGUUGAACGGCCACAUUGGGACUGAGACACGGCCCAGACUCCUACGGGAGGCAGCAGUGGGGAAUAUUGCACAAUGGGGGAAACCCUGAUGCAGCGAUGCCGCGUGGAGGAAGAAGGUUUUCGGAUUGUAAACUCCUGUCUUAAAGGACGAUAAUGACGGUACUUUAGGAGGAAGCUCCGGCUAACUACGUGCCAGCAGCCGCGGUAAU
rnacentral:rRNA from 1 species